UCGAAUUUUGUUUCGAAAUAUAUGCUUGCCGCGUAGUUGCCAUAUCGACACAAAACAUUUUCUGUGCAAAAAUGUAUGAAGAUAAUUUCUUACCUUUGAUGUGUCUGUCUUCGGUGUAGGGGAUGGCAACCCUGGAGAGAGACUUCUCAUCUGUGGUAGUUCUUCCACCCCAAGCAUCAUGUUAGAGCCUAAAACAUCGUUAAGGUUAUGGAAACAACAGUUUGUGCUGUACGGAUUUAACACUAAACUUUGAUGAUUUGUCGAAAAUCUGACGUACAAUGUAUUCUGAGGCACUGAUAUAAUCGUUUACAAACUGUCACAAGAAACUAUUGUUUAGAAGCCACUAAAAAAAUGAAAAAUAUUCGGACGUCAGCUUCCGUGUACCAGCUUGCUUAGUAGCAGUCAAGGUUAUAAUGACGUCAUUGAAUUCUCGAACUGAGCCAGCUGAUAGCAUGAUCUUAGUAUUCGUCCGCCAUGAAAUGUGUUUACAUGAAUGCUGUGAAUGUAAUGUACCCAACAACAAGAAACACCAGUGUGUAAUAAAGGAUCAUGACUUGAUGCUCCCAGGAGAUGCCGAACAUGCAAAGUGGAAGAGGCUGCACUGUAGAGAAUCCGUCAACAGGUACACAAAUGAUAGUCUGCUGAAGAUCUUUCCAUUGGAAUGCAGAACCUCACCCUGAAUUACAAAAGCAGGCAAAGUCCUGUGUGCAAAUUAUUUUUGUGUUACAUUGUGCUUAUGCAGAUAAUUUACUUGAAACUAAUUCAUAUUGUUAGCAACAAACACAGUAAAGAAGGGAAAAACAUACAAUGGGAAGUGAGUGCAAGAAUUCAAAGAUUUUUGAAUAGUCUUCUGCAAGAUGUUUGGUUUUCUAAUGACCAUAUUCAUUAUCAUGAAAUGAGAAGUAGGCCUAACAAUGACUCUUUUGUAGGGAAAUGUUUAUGGCAACCUUGUGUCAGAAAAGGUGCUAUAUUAACAGAAACUUUAAUUCAACUCUUUGCAACAAAGAUUUAGAAUAGAAUUACAACAUGUAUUGAAACAGUUUCCAAAUCAUUUAUGAAUAUACAAAUAAUUGACAGUAAGUUAGAAGUAUUCAGCUCAGUACAGACAUCUGUACAAAUUUUCUGUGCAUAACUUACGUAUCAGUAUUAAGAUUGUUUCAUAAUUUCAUAUUUAUUAGCACAGUUUAUAAAAUAUUUGCUAAUACCAUUCCAUUUAUCUAAACUCAGCAUCCCAUGCUGAUGGCACAGUGAUGGGAUCCCAACCCACUGUCAGACACCCCAAAGUAACACCAACACCUGAGUGAGGUUUAAGAAUAUAAGGUAUCUGUAUAUGAUGAUAAUUGUAAUAAUAUAGUAUAAUUGUGUGUAAAAAUAAUCCAUAAAUUUAGUGUAUUAAAAUAUCUGUGUGUAUUAACUACGUUGGUGUCCAAAUUUAAAGCAACUAACUGCUAUUACCUUGUCCUGUAUCUGAUUCACUGUAACCAUACAAACUGUCAACAAGCAUCUGGACAGUUGUGUUGUGCAUGGAAAACGGCAUUUCAGUCAACAGACAACCAUGACAACAAUUAUUACAGGGCAUCUUUCAAAUGGGGUAGUGUUUGCCAGGUAGUCCCAGAUCCACAUUCGCUGGGUACACAGUCAGAGACAGUGCAGUAUGGUACAGAGAAGGUGUCUACCAGACACUUUGCAGUGGAGGGCCGUAGGAAAAAUGGGAACUGGACAAUCGCAAACUGAUGUGGCCCGAUGGCUUAAUGUGAGUUGUUCUAUUGUUUCUCAGAUGUGGUGACAGUUUAUAUAGAGACUGACACUGUAUCCCAAAGACCAGAGCAGGGCCGGCCAUGUAUGAAAUCAGAAAGAGAGGACUGUUAUUUGGCUGUAAGGGUAUGAUGGUACCACCUUAGUACUGCAUGGCAGUUGGCAUCUGGCCUUGCAGCAUCCACAGGACAUGUAUCAAGGACAUGUUGUAUCAAGGCAAACUGUGUUCAGAAGGCAUUGGCAGAAGGGCCGUUACGUCAGAGACCUGCUGUAUGUGUACCUCUGUUGCAUCUUCACAGAAGGGGACAUCUAGAGUGGAAUCAACAUACCACCUGGAUAGUUGAAUAGUGGGCCAGUGCUCUUUUCACCAAUGAAUCCCAA